GACGAACGCUGGCGGCGUGCUUAACACAUGCAAGUCGAACGGAAAGGCCCUGCUUUUGUGGGGUGCUCGAGUGGCGAACGGGUGUGUAACACGUGAGUAACCUGCCCUUGACUUUGGGAUAACUUCAGGAAACUGGGGCUAAUACCGGAUAGGAGCUCCUGCUGCAUGGUGGGGGUUGGAAAGUUUCGGCGGUUGGGGAUGGACUCGCGGCUUAUCAGCUUGUUGGUGGGGUAGUGGCUUACCAAGGCUUUGACGGGUAGCCGGCCUGAGAGGGUGACCAGCGACAAUGGGACUGAGAGACGGCCCAGACUCCUACGGGAGGCAGCAGUGGGGAAUAUGGCACAAUGGGCGGAAGCCAGAUGCAGCAACGCCGCGUGCGGGAUGACGGCCUUCGAGGUGUAAACCGCUGUCGCCGGUGACGAAGCGUGAGUGACGGUAAUGGGUAAAGAAGCACCGGCUAACUACGUG
rnacentral:rRNA from 1 species